GACGAACGCUGGCGGCGUGCUUAACACAUGCAAGUCGAACGGAAAGGCCCUGCUUUUGUGGGGUGCUCGAGUGGCGAACGGGUGAGUAACACGUGAGUAACCUGCCCUUGACUUUGGGAUAACUUCAGGAAACUGGGGCUAAUACCGGAUAGGAGCUCCUGCUGCAUGGUGGGGGUUGGAAAGUUUCGGCGGUUGGGGAUGGACUCGCGGCUUAUCAGCUUGUUGGUGGGGUAGUGGCUUACCAAGGCUUUGACGGGUAGCCGGCCUGAGAGGGUGACCGGCAAAAGGGGGAGGGAGAUAAGCACAGGCCGCAGAGGGGGGGGAGAGGGGGGGAUGUUGGAAAAAGGGGCGGGAGCCGGAGGCAGAAGCGCGCGGUGCGGGAGGACGGCCUGGGGUUGAAAAACGUCUUUCGCCGGGGAAGAGGGGGGAGGGACGGUAGGGGAAAAAGAAGCACCGGAUAACUACGUC
rnacentral:rRNA from 1 species